UACGGAGGGAGCUAGCGUUAUUCGGAAUUACUGGGCGUAAAGCGUACGUAGGCGGCUUUGUAAGUUAGAGGUGAAAGCCCGGGGCUCAACCCCGGAAUUGCCUUUAAGACUGCAUCGCUUGAAUCGCGGAGAGGUGAGUGGAAUUCCGAGUGUAGAGGUGAAAUUCGUAGAUAUUCGGAAGAACACCAGUGGCGAAGGCGGCUCUCUGGGACGGUACUGACGCUGAGACGCGCAAAGCGU
rnacentral:rRNA from 1 species